rnacentral:rRNA from 1 species
GUCGAGAAUAAUUCACAAUGGACGAAAGUCUGAUGGUGCAACGCCGCGUGGAGGAUGACGGUCUUCGGAUUGUAAACUCCUGUCAUCCGGGAGUAAGACCUGGCUGUGAAUAGCAGACAGGGUUGAUAGUACCGGAAGAGGAAGGGACGGCUAACUUCGUGCCAGCAGCCGCGGUAAUACGAAGGUCCCGAGCGUUGUUCGGAAUCACUGGGCGUAAAGGGAGCGUAGGAGGCGUGGUAAGUCAGAUGUGAAAUCCCGGGGCUCAACCCCGGAACUGCAUCCGAUACUGCCGUGCUAGAGGAUUGGAGAGGUAGCUGGAAUUCUUGGUGUAGCAGUGAAAUGCGUGGAGAUCAAGAGGAACACUCGUGGCGAAAGCGAGCUACUGGACAAUAUCUGACGCUGAGGCUCGAAGGCCAGGGUAGCGAAAGGGAUUAGAUACCCUGGUAGUCC